CCUACGGGUGGCAGCAGUGAGGAAUAUUGGUCAAUGGACGAGAGUCUGAACCAGCCAAGUAGCGUGAAGGAUGACUGCCCUAUGGGUUGUAAACUUCUUUUAUAAAGGAAUAAAACGAGGCACGUGUGCCUUUUUGCAUGUACUUUAUGAAUAAGGAUCGGCUAACUCCGUGCCAGCAGCCGCGGUAAUACGGAGGAUCCGAGCGUUAACCGGAUUGAUAGGGUUUAAAGGGAGCGUAGAUGGGUUGUUAAGUCAGUUGUGAAAGUUUGCGGCUCAACCGUAAAAUUGCAAUUGAUACUGGCAGGCUUGAGUACAGUUGAGGUAAGCGGAAUUCGUGGUGUAGCGGUGAAAUGCAUAGAUAUCGCGCAGAACCCCGAUUGCGAAGGCAGCGUGCCGUGCCGCCACUGACGCUGAGGCGCGAAAGCGCGGGGAUCGAACAGGAUUAGAUACCCGGGUAGUC
rnacentral:rRNA from 1 species